UCUGGUCCGUGGGAUGUCAACCCCAGACCGGAGUGCCAUGCCAGCCUGGACGGCGUGGAGCUGAGGGUGGCUGAGGGCAGACGGUGGAGUGGACAAGCAGGGUGGACACGGGGGAAACAGAAUGAAUCAGAAGGGAUGCGGAGGUUCGGCUCUGCACCGGCCCCUUUGUGUGACUAAAUUUGGCAAGAAUAUGGAUCCCAGCCAGUCUUUCCACGUGUGCUCCCAGCUCCCAGCUGAGAAGGCCAAGGGUUCUCUUCCGGGAAAACCAGUUCAGCUAUAAAGAGAACCACUCAGUACAGCGGAGCAAGAUCAGGCAAUGUUUCCCGGAGAAGAGCUGUUUACCAUCAAAGAGACUGCUUCCAACAGACACGAGAUAUUAUAUACAAAGAUGGAGUGUGCUUGUGUGGACGUCUGCUACAUGUGUGCAGGUACUGGUGAAGGACUGUGGGAGGCAUCGGAUUCUCUACUGCUGGAGUCACAGACAGUUCAAAGACUGAAAAGAGCAGACAACAUAAGCCUGGUCUGGAGUUGGUGACCUGAACGAAGAGAGAAAAGUGCACAGGAGGAAAAAAAGGACGCAUGUACCAUCAUCUAUGACAUAUGACAUUUUAAUGACUAAUAAAUAAGGAUUGUAUUUUCAUAAUAGCUACAAGUCCUUGCUCCAAAAAGCACAAAGUUCCAGAAAUGGACCUUCAUCUCCACCAGGAUGAACGAACCAGUCACGGCAGCAUCCAGCACAUUGAUAGAGCUUCGUGCUGAAGCUCUUGGGGUAGUGGUAAUUAAACACAGUUUUUUGGUUACUCCUGUCCUAUAUCCUGCACUAUGUUGAUUAACCUGUUUAAUGAGUAUACAAGAAUGGCCAAAGCUGCCCUCACAUCAAAGAGCCCCAUUGUUGCUGUGUGCUGACCUGAAUUUUAAUUGCCUACCAGGUUCGUUAAUUGCACCAGAGAUGUGUGAGAGAAUGGAGUCGCUUUUUCAAGCUGCAUUCCCAGCUGUGUUCAGUUCAGUUAUGGUAUCCUGCUGAAUAGCUAGACACUGGUUUACACACCCAGGCUCAGAGCACCUCCCCCAUCCCCCACCCUGCCCUACCCCCCCAGAUUCACAGUUUAGCAGCUACCUUUGAUAAGGAUGGCAGUGGUGACUGGUUUAAUUUACAUGAUAAAACUUAUUCUUAUAAGUUAUUAAACAUCACAAAGGGGCUGGGGUGUGCAUAAGGUCUGUAAAGAAGUCAAUAGUGAAUACAUUAGGAUCCAAAUAGUCUUUGUGAUUCCUAUAAGGGCUCGGCUGCCCUGAGAAUCAUUAGAGGCAGCUAUGGCUUCCUUAUUGAGUACAGACAUCAAGGAUCAACUGUUAAUCCAAGCUACAGGUACCCACAGUAGUAAAUAGAUAGCUAGUUCUUAAGUGAUAAUAUUGAAUUUUGUGUUUGUUUUUUUCAAAGACAGGGUCUCGCUCUGUAACGCAAACUCAGGCAAUCUUCCUACCUCAGCCUUCUGGCUGCUGGAAUUACAGUGGUGUUACAGCCGUAAACCACCAUACCUAUGAAAACCAGACCAAAUACUCUCCCCUACCCUCUAUAAAAACAAAAACAAUCCCCCUAACUCAAUUUUGUUGACUGCCAUCUUUCCAAUUUCUCUUUAUUUUGGCAAACAAUUUACAGAGUUGCAUUCAGCUAUUCACUUUCUGUGGAGGACUGGUGGGUGUGGCCGACAGUCUCGCCUCUGACCUGAGUGCCCCAGCCAGAAGGAUGAAGAUGUUCCGAACAAAGAUUUGAUCGUGGUUUAAACAAACACACAGC